AGUAGUUGACUCGUGCUACAGAACGACGCUGGCGGCGCGUUUUAAGCAUGCAAGUCGAGCGGCAAGGGCCUUCGGGCCCCUAGAGCGGCGGACGGGUGAGUAACACGUGGACAAUCUCGCCCCCCGGCCCGGGAUAGCCCAGGGAAACCUGGAUUAAUACCGGAUGAGACGGGACCCGCGAUGGCGGGACCCGGGAAAGGCGCUGCGGCGCCGCCGGGGGAUGAGUCUGCGUCCCAUUAGCUAGACGGCGGGGUAACGGCCCACCGUGGCGACGAUGGGUAGCCGGCCUGAGAGGGUGGACGGCCACAUUGGAACUGAGACACGGUCCAGACUCCUACGGGAGGCAGCAGCUAAGAAUCUUCCGCAAUGGGCGAAAGCCUAACGGAGCCGACGCCGCGUGAACGAAGAAGGCCGUGAGGUUGUAAAGUUCUUUUCGGGAGGGGGAACAACCGUGGCAGGGAAUGGCCGCGGGAUGACGUGAAUCCCGGAAUAAGCCCCGGCUAACUACGUGCCAGCCGCGGC
rnacentral:rRNA from 1 species